rnacentral:rRNA from 1 species
CCUACGGGAGGCAGCAGUGAGGAAUAUUGCACAAUGGGGGAAACCCUGAUGCAGCAACGCCGCGUGGGUGAUGAAGGCCUUCGGGUUGUAAAACCCUUUUCUGGGGGACGAGACAGGACGGUACCCCAGGAAUAAGUCCCGGCUAACUUCGUGCCAGCAGCCGCGGUAAU